rnacentral:lncRNA from 1 species
AACUUAUAACUGUUGAGAAUACCUAAAGAAAUAAUAACAAUAAUAUCCAUAUGAAAGGACGAUGAAAACUUAACACAGGAAAAAUGAGUGUUACAGGAAUCAAAGGAAACAUUGGAAAGGAUAAAAAGACUUUGAAAUGUACUACAAAUUCCAUUACGACUUCAAUUGUUAACGAAGAAAUUUCCACCUCCGAAAUUCGACACAAGAGGACAAUUCAGGUCUUUAACGACCCUGUCUCUCCAGCUAUAUUGACGUAUUCGAACCUCUUUUGGACUCUCUUUUCUUUUAUACAAUUCUGUUCAUAUCUCGAUUCGUUCCCAUCAAAUUGUUAAGUAAUA